rnacentral:lncRNA from 1 species
GGGUUUUAAAUGAAAAAGACCAUGGAGGCAUUUCCAGAUUCGGCCGCCGAACUUCAAGUUCGGCCGCCGAACGUGGGAUAGUUUAGGGGGGCACGUUAGGCUUCCGAAUGUGGCUCAUGUUCGGCCGCCGAACAUGCAUGCGUUUUGGAGUCGCCUUCGGCUUCCGAAGGUGGCCUGGCUAGCCACCUAUAAAAGGACCCAUGGCCGAAAAUGGGCGAGCUUUCUCCCCUAUUUUCGGCCAACGGUGAGUCCAUGCCCUCCUGUGGUUGAUUUUGAUGAUUUUUCCUCAAAUCUUUC